GAUGAACGCUGGCGGCGUGCCUAAUACAUGCAAGUCGAGCGAACAGACGAGGAGCUUGCUCCUCUGACGUUAGCGGCGGACGGGUGAGUAACACGUGGAUAACCUACCUAUAAGACUGGGAUAACUUCGGGAAACCGGAGCUAAUACCGGAUAAUAUAUUGAACCGCAUGGUUCAAUAGUGAAAGACGGUUUUGCUGUCACUUAUAGAUGGAUCCGCGCCGCAUUAGCUAGUUGGUAAGGUAACGGCUUACCAAGGCAACGAUGCGUAGCCGACCUGAGAGGGUGAUCGGCCACACUGGAACUGAGACACGGUCCAGACUCCGACGGGAGGCAGCAGUAGGGAAUCUUCCGCAAAGGGCGAAAGCCUGACGGAGCAACGCCGCGUGAGUGAUGAAGGUCUUCGGAUCGUAAAACGCUGUUAUUAGGGAAGAACAAAUGUGUAAGUAACUAUGCACGUCUUGACGGUACCUAAUCAGAAAGCCACGGCUAACUACGUG
rnacentral:rRNA from 1 species